GGAGAUGUGGCUUAGUGGUAGAGCACUUGCUUGACACGUGAGUCCCUGGGUUUAAUGCCUCCGUCACCA
rnacentral:tRNA from 1 species